rnacentral:rRNA from 1 species
AACGAACGCUGGCGGCAGGCUUAACACAUGCAAGUCGAACGGGCGUAGCAAUACGUCAGUGGCGGACGGGUGAGUAACACGUGGGAAUAUGCCUUUCGGUUCGGAACAACUCGGGGAAACCCGUGCUAAUUCCGGAUACGCCCUUACGGGGAAAGAUUUAUCGCCGAAAGAUUAGCCCGCGUUGGAUUAGCUAGUUGGUGAGGUAAAGGCUCACCAAGGCGACGAUCCAUAGCUGGUUUGAGAGAACGACCAGCCACACUGGGACUGAGACACGGCCCAGACUCCUACGGGAGGCAGCAGUGGGGAAUCUUGGACAAUGGAGGAAACUCUGAUCCAGCCAUGCCGCGU